rnacentral:tRNA from 1 species
ACUUAAAUAGCUUAACAAAGAGCAUAGUAUUGAAGAUACUAGGGUAGUUUAAAACUUUUGAGUA